UACGUAGGGUGCAAGCGUUAAUCGGAAUUACUGGGCGUAAAGGGCGCGUAGGCGGCCCGCUAAGUCGAACGUGAAAUCCCCAGGCUUAACCUGGGAACUGCAUCCGAUACUGGAUGGCUUGAAUUCGGGAGAGGGAUGCAGAAUUCCAGGUGUAGCGGUGAAAUGCGUAGAUAUCUGGAGGAAUACCGGUGGCGAAGGCGGCAUCCUGGACCGAGAUUGACGCUGAUGAGCGAAAGCUAGGGGAGCAAACGGG
rnacentral:rRNA from 1 species